UGACGUCAAUGAACAAAAAAUAUAGUAAGGCUAAGAAACAUGUCAGACCAAGGUUUCAAAAAGCACAUGGAUGAAGGCAGUCAAGGUAUAUGCAGCCACUUAUGUCGGCACCUAUGCAAUUUGUAUUUUAAAACAUUACAAAAUCAAUAAAUCCAUAGUAAUAGAUAAAAGAGAAGAAAUAUAAUAAACAGCUCAAUAAAAACUAAGAAAUAUAAAAAAAAAUUACAGAAGAGAUGGACUGUCACAUAUUCAAGGCUUGGGAUUAUGCAAGAAACUUGGGCAUAAACCAUGCAGUCCAUCAAAAUCGUAGUUUGAACUUUGAACUGAUCACAUCAUGGGUACCGAGGCAUACUAAGUAUGUACAGCAUCCUGUACUGAGAUGUAUUGAUGAACCCUGAGAAGACAAAGGAGUGUCCUCCAGUACAUACAAUACUGGUAUGCCCCUGCAUGCAAUAUUUCAAACCUUGCACCAAAUAAGAGGUGCAGCAAGCUAAAGCCUUUACAGGGUGGUCAGAGAAGUUGGGGGGGCACACAUGUGAUAAGACAACUGAAGCAAUGCAACUAGUAUGCCUAUCUACAUGAUAAUAUUUAUGGUAAGAUUUUUCUUGAGAGAACAAAUUAGCUACGAUAAGGAUAGGCAAACUAAAGAUAUAAAUAGGGAAGAUGAAUUAGUAUUUUUGUUGAAUUUAGAUGAUUACAUUAAGGAAAACUCUUGAAUAAAAUGGAAUUCUAUUCUGAGGCAAAUAAAAUAAAAUAAGGUACGAAACACAAGUGGAAUUGGCUUGAUUUAAUUGUGCAGCUUGUUCAGUUUGAUCCUAGAAAUUUCAAGGAAUGGUACACAGUUGCAGAGUUAUGACAGAUUAUAGGAAUUAAGGUAAUCAAAUGAGUUUUUUUUAAAUCAAAUAGACUAUUGAAUUAAAAAUUUUAGCCAUGUGUAGUUAUGGAAGAAGAUGAUGGAAUAUUGGUUGAAAAAAUCAAUAAAAACAUAAAAAAUCUUAAGUAGAAUGUUUAUAUUUCCAAUAUGACCAACAAUACUGUUUUGAACCAAAGUUCGUUGAAACGGUAUCGGGACCUAUACCGGUCAGCAAUCGACACAGUAUGGUACGGUCCAUACCAUGCUGUUUCGGGGUGAACCGUAUUUCUUUUUUGAAUUUUUCAAAUUGCCGUAGGCAACAAUACAAAACAAGAUCCCCUAUUACGAAAUGAAAUAGAGGAUCCUUGUUACAAUUAGGGCUUCCGAGCCCUCCCUCCCUCUCUCUCGGCCUCUCUCUCCCCUCCCUCUCCCUCUGCCUUCCUCCCUCCCUCUCCCUCUCUCUUUUCCUCUCUCCUUCUCCCUCUCCCUCCUUUCAAACCAAGGUAAUGAACUGUGCCGAUAACCAGCCGUUCCAAUUCAAUACACCCUAAUCGCCCGAUUUGGCAUGGUUCAACAAACCAUGCUUCAGAUAAAAUAUCAGGCAAUGAGGUCUAGAAACAUAACACGAGCACCACAAAGACGAGAGCAAAGAUUGGCCUGUUAUAAACUGAGAAGAAUGUCUCUUUUCUUUUCUUAGAUUGUUAUUUCCAGUGGUAAAACCAACAUCCCCUUCAGCAGAGUAGAGAGGACUUGGUUCUCCAUAUGGGGUGGAAUCAUAACCAUGGAGAGAGAUAGAGAAAGAGACAAUGAACAGACUAAAAAACAGGUUUUAAGAAUUGAGGAAACCUGGCAUAGGACAGAACCAACACACUAUCAAUUCCACACAUGCCCACCAUCAUAGACUUUCGAUGAAACAUGACAAAAUGGCCCACCAAAACACAUGAGAGGGCAUGUGCACUGGUUGGACUUGCAUUCGGUCCACCCAAGGACCUGAUGGAUGAAACUCGAGAGCAAUACAUGCCCUAAUGAUCCCAGAGUCCAAGUAACAGACCAAUCCAAUUCUAGAUAUAACAUAUCUGAACAUCGCAACAUCAACAAUCAACUACUGGAGGGACCUGAGAAGGAUAUAAUGCAAACCCAACCUCAAUGUUUUGAAAAGGCAGCUAUAUAUGCAGGAAAUCAAGGGGUUACAUGCACAGGCGCCUAUAAGAUUAGAAUUUUAAAAAUAAAUAAAAUAUACUAAAUACAACACUAAUAGCAAUAUUAUUUACAAAUAAUAGCAAUAAUAAUAAGAAUAACAUCUAGUAAUUGGUGCUUGCUUCUUACUAUUUAAUUCUUAGUGGUAAUAUCUUGAGCAAUGAUCUAUAGUAAUAAUAAAGAUAGCAUAAUUAUUAUAUUGACAUUGUUAAUACACAUGUAUCCAACCUGUUUGAAACCCACAUACAACAAAUCAUUAGCUAGAACCUGUCCCGUUCAUAUAGGCCUGCACAAGACUGGACAGAUAUAUGGUUGCACAAUGCUAAAAGGCCCACAUAUGCGGUUGCACAAUGACAAACAGACGGCAUAUGCCACUGCAAAAUAUUAAACCUGGUGUAUAUGUCCUCAAAUGCUAUGCAAACUGUGUUUUUGGACCAUAAUAACCAAAGAUUGCACUAAGGCCUAUCUAAGCAACACUUUGAGGCUCUCGAGCAAGCAGCAAACUAUAACUUAAGCCAUAGAUAACUAAAACUCUAGGAGACCAACUAGGCCUGGGAGCCUACCUAAGGCUUACAUCUGGCUUGGACUCUUUUAAGUUUCAAUACCAAUAGCUGUAGUGGUAUGGCACAAUGAUUAGGAUUAACGUUACAGUUGAUAUGAAAAUUAAAAACACAUAACAUGAUGAUGCUAUUGCUACUAAAAUCAUAUAUAUGAAAUAAUUUUGCGAGCAAUAAAUGCAUUAGUAUUGGCAUCUAGCAUUAAUAUUAUAAAAGAAAUAAUAAAGCUAGAGGGUUUUAUCGCAAAACCAAACCAAAAUAAACAAGUACAAAACUCAUGAACAUGCAACCAAAUCCAUGAGAAUUAUUUUAAAUGACAUACAAUUCAUCAAAAUAAUCAUAUGAAAAAUAUCAAUGUUUCAACUAAGUGGUAACUUCAAAGUAAGGUAUUUCAUCCACAUUAUGCCACUGGAUUAAUGUUGAUAUAAAUUAGACAUCCGUGCAGGAAUUACUCAAACAGCACUUAAAGGGACCCACUCAAAUGUGCUAUUCAACUUACUAGUUAAGCUCAAUUUGGAUUAUUCCUGAUCACCAUCAUAAACAAUAACUAACCUUUCAAUUAUCCUGCUAAAUUUAUAAUGAAUUCUAAUGAAAGCAACUCAUUAGGAUUAAAAGAAAACUAUUAGAACUCCUAAUAAAACUUAAGUACUUCAACAGGACUUUUUAUUGCAUUUACAUAACCAUUUCAAGGUUCUAUGAUGCACUCCACCUACAAGCUAAAAUUUGGUGACUCCACAAAUACCUCAUAAUCAAGGUUAGCUAAAUCGGUACCAUGACCCAUACAAGUCUCGUAUCGGGUCGGGAACGAAAGCUUUCUAAUGUGGGUAGAGACUUUAGGCUAUCGUUUCAACAUGGUAUCAGUUUGGUACCGUAUCGACACGCAAAAAAAAAAUCAAUUUUUAAUAUUUAAUGAAAAGUAAUAAUUUUUUUUGUUUUUUGAAUGAUUUUAAGUCUUAUUUGAUAUUUCUUAAUGUCUUUUGAUGUUUUAUCGUACAUCUUAAGUAAUGCUUCUUAAUAUUUUGGAGUGAUUUUUCUGCUUUGAAAAAAAAAACUAUCUUAGAGAGGCAAAAACUGGCAAAUCUGUGUCAUUGGGUUUGUUACCCCAGUUAUACAUUUUUCAUGCCAAAACUAAAAUGUAAAGAAAAAAGCUAGUGAUCCUAACUUCGCACACCAGGAGAAGCAACAUGAAAUACCUAAAAUCAACUAGUUAAAUAAAAAACAUAUAACGAUACAAUCAAUUAGAUAUAUUUAAAGUAUAACAUACAUAUCAAUUUCUAAAAUCUCAUUGAGUAGCGAUAUCUCUUGUAGAUAUCGAGAUCAUUUGAAUAAUCAGGCGGCACAUCAGCCCACCCUUCUAACCAAGCAGCAUUGUAAUCCUGUGCGUUCAUCUCAUAAGGUAUACACUCUGGGUUAUAACUGGUCUCGAAUUACUCACUGAAGCUUUGACUCUGAAAGGUAUCCUCUAGUUGAUAAUACAGUCAUGGAAAGGCUCAUCUGAAUAUGCCGACAGCAAAAUUCGACUUGUAAGGUGCUUUAUGCUACGUAGGAUAGUAGCCACUGAAAGACAAUACCUUAAACGUACCGUAUCCAUAUCUGUAUGCAUCAUAGAUUGCCUAUAGUUGUAGGUAAUAUGAUCCAACUACGACUCAAAACCUGAUACGUCUACAAAUUUUACUCCACGAGCGAGGUCAUACACAGUUGCAUCAUGUCCUCUGAACGACCUUACGGAACCCAUCUCCUAUAUGCAAUCAUAUGCUCACGGCCUCUACCAUCUCGUGCACCAUAAUCCUUAUCCUGCAUAGUAUGCGUAAAUUAGAACUCACCGGUGAAUAGAAAACCGUCAUACAACUGUCUCAUAAAUGGUGGUCUCAUAUCCUCCACUCUCCUUGACCACCGAAUCUAUAAUCACCAGAACUGUCAUCACUGCUCUCCCUGAUCUCUAAGUUUGAGUAAACUAACUCAUUCACUCUCUCCAUUGGAGUUGGAACUGCCUCUCUUUUCUUUCCGACUACGCUGAGCAUCCACCUGCUUUUCCUUCGUGUCUCUCUCUGUCCGGCUAUGCUAGGAGGAUGAAUGUCGCUCUCCUAAUUGAGUCGACUGGAUAGUGUGGUAGCCUCAUCUAAGCAAACUCUCGGUCAUAUAUCUCUACAAGGAUGUCUUAAAUAUGGAGUCAUAUAAUGAUCGGCUCCCUACUAACCUCUAUGGCUGUAAUUGAUCAAUUGGAAGCAUGCGAAGAAUGUUGCAAUCUGCCCAUUACUCUACAUCCAUCCUAGCCUCGAUGGUUGUGCAAGUGGCUGUUCGUGGAGGUAAUUCUAGCUCAUCGAGCUCCAACUCAUGUUGCUAGCCCACAAGCCAUCCGAUCAUGGGUCAUCCUUAUGUUGAAUGAAAGUAUUGUGGAUUGGAUCCAUGUACUUCAACUCCAUUUCCUUCUGAAUGCACUUCAGCCUCAACCUCAAAUUGUAGCGGACAUAUACAAGCUCAUUGAGACACCUCUAUGUCAGAUGAUUUCUCUGCUUGCUAUAGAUGAGGACGAAUGUGGACUAGUUGUGGUCACAGCCACUCGAGGAAACCGUUUGGAAAAGAAUUUGAAUGGCUAGCUAUUUAACAUAUCUCGCCAACAGAUCAACAUGAGUCCACCCUUUAGUUGCAAAAGCAUGGAAAAAAAUUACAUAUAAGAUAUUAUUAACUCUAAAACGUCAAGUAAUAGUUAUUGUUGAUAUCUAAUAUACCUAAAUUCAUAGUUUUUUUACUUACAAUAGCCGUAGAGACUCCAAAGCUGUUAGUGCCCACCUAAAUAUUUUCAUCUAUGAAAAAAAGACAUGUUAUAAUAUGUUAAUGUUUGAAGACACGAGUUAACUUAUGCAUGCCGCUUAAACUAACUUACCUUUUAUAGACAAAGGGCCGCGACUUCUAAAUCCGACUCCAUCUUAUAGAUCAUAUUACGCAGGAUUACUAAAAAGUUCUCAUUCAUAUCAAUCCUAAGUACGGUGUACUAGAACCUCAGGUUCAGGUAGUUAGCUGCCAAUAGAAUUUGUAAUUAUUUUAGUAAAAUUUUAUAAGUAUAGAAGCAGUCAAAUUUUAAAUAUUCUUGCUUACCUGCUAGAUGCAACUCUCCACCCAUGUGGUAGUCCUGCCUCUACUAAAUGAUAUUGUUGUACUCUUGAACAUGCUUCGAAUCUGCUUCCCUGAUCUAAUUCUCUGCCUUCUCCAUCAUAUAAUAUAGGAAGCCCAUCUGGAGCUACUUCUCACUGUCCACAUUCAUUAAUGGCUCGAUAGCCUUCACUAUCUUCUCGAUCCACUGCCAAAAUGUUUGCCUUAUAACGAAGUUCUCCACAUGGCUCCCCUUAGUGCAAACCCUCACAAAUCUUCUCUCAUGUCACUCAGCACUGACAAACAUCUGACACAAGCCUAUUUUCCUCUCAAGGAGGCUAUCAAGUUCAAUAUAGUUAGUAGCAAGCUGUCACAGUUGGCCUCAAGAUCUCCUCCUGCAUACCUCCUCAUCAGUGAUAGAACUCGUGUGGUUAUAAAUAAAUCCGAUGAUGGAUUGGCCUGUCUCUAUUGUCUGUUGCACCCUAUGGAUCUUUCCAAUCUCCAUCAACAUAAAAUCGAUACGAUAUAUAGCAAAUGAGAGCCAAAAAAUGUGGCUAGUGCUCCAUCAAAAUCAACACAGUGGCCUUAAAUUGUGGCAUGUUAUCAGUGAUGACCUGCAAAACAUUCUCCUCUCCUACCUGAUCAAUCACCUCUUCCAUCAAUAUGAGGAUAUACAUAGCAUUGUGCACCUAAUCGAAACAUCAACUUCUGGAAGAAAGUCUUCGUAUCAUAGCAUAUCAAGAAGAUGAUGCUCCGCCUGAUAGAACCGGUCCAACCAUCACACAUCACCGUCAGUCCAUAUGUGGAUCACUUGCUAUAAUAUGAGAAAAUCCACUUCUAUAGCUCCUUGUUAUUGUUAAGAAGCUCACCAUAGAUGUCAUUCAGUCCUAAAGGAUCUACACCCGACCCAGCAUCUUGUAUAGAGGAACUACAAACCUAUAAUACGUGUUGUUUGUCGCAUUCGCUGGGAUAUGGCUGAAGUGGAACUAAGAUCCAAUAGCUCGCCUCAUAUCCUUCUUCUUGUCCUUCAGCAAGGUGUCAACCCUCUACUGCUUCAAAUUUCUAUUAAGGAAGACGUGGAUUUUGAUCAUAGAUGGUGGCUCCUAACAAAAUCUUUGGAGAACUUCUUCCUGUUGCCAAAAGCCCUUAGUAUAGAUGCAAUACGGCCACUGCCUCUACUAACGGCUUUUCUAAUUGAGGAGGUCCUCCUAAACUCUGGAUCUGCCUCGCCGAUCCCAGAACCAGCGCUUGAUUCAGAGUGAGCCCAAAUUGAGCUUUAUGCCUGGCCACCUCAUCCUGAUGCCACUAAUCAUCUAGGCUCGUCUGAAUAGCAGCUUGAAUCUAUGCCUCCGCAUCAUAUAGUUAUCUUUCCUCUCUUGAACUCUGUCGCACCAAUUAUACCUCCAAUGGUGCCGAUCCAAGAGCAUUUGCUCAUGAUCCCAGCCAAUUAGCAAGCACAUAUCAAUUAUUAAUAGUGAAACUUUGUUAUAAUGAAAAAAUGUUUCUACUUCAUAAAAUACUUCUAAAUUAUCUAAUACAUAGAACUAAUAUUUCAUAUUUCUAGUAUUAUUUAUGUAUUUUUAAUAAUUUUUAAAUUAAAAAAUAAUUUUAAAUAACAAAAAUUCAGAAAAUUUUAUUUUCUACUUCAAAAAAUACUUCAACAUAUAAAAAUAAUUUUUUAUUUUUAUUGAAUAGAUAUUUUUAAUAAUUUUUAAAUUAAAAAUAAUUUUAAAAUAUAAAAAUUCUAAAAAAAUUAAUUUAAGCUCAGAUCCAUGUAGAACCCUAUCUUGAAUGCCACAUAUAUUUUUCUCAGCUCGCAGGCAUGCAUCAAAAGCGGCUUAUUUUUCAAUUUUAUUCAAAUUUGGGCCUAAGCCAUUGUGUGGAUGAUCACAUCUAAAUUAAAAAAAGGGCACCAAAUUUAGGUUGAGAGUAGGCUGCAUGCCCCUAAAAAAGCUUCUAAUUACACAAUUACUUUUGGAGUUUAUUUUAUUUUUUAAUUUAUAAUCCAAAUAUAUAUUUUUAAUGUAUAAAAUUGCAAAUUUAACAAAAAUUUAAAAUUUUGGUCCUAUUGUGUAGAUCAUCCAUAGAUCUAUAACAUAUCAUAAAAUCAUGCCAAAAUCAAAAAUUUUGGCAUGACCUUCCUUAUUUUCUAAUUUUUUUGGUAUUUUUUGAUGUUAUAAAAAAAAGUAGAAGAAAUGAAGUGGAAGAGAACCACCUUACCUUGUUUUGGUUUGGAUCUAGUGUUUAAUCGUUGAUAUCAGUCAUUUUUUGGUGAAGUAGAGGAGGUUGAAAACAAUGAGAAGGCCUAAGAAGGCUCGUGAGGCCAUCCUAGGCCACUCUCUACUAUUGGAAAGAGAGGGGCCAAACCGGUUCGUCCGAUGCAAAUUGAGCAAUCCACACCGGUUCUACUCAAAACCAUCCAGUUCAAAGAAAUUCUCUUUAUUUUUCAAAAAAUAGGGCCGAGUCGUCCCGAUUCCUCCCUAAUUCGAUUCAAUACGCUCCGAAUCGAACGGUUUGGGGCUAUUCGGCAUACCAUGCUCGUAAUCCUAUGUAGCAUUUAAGAACAAAAUAAUUUAAAAAGGACUACCAAUUUGUUAUUCAAAAUCAAAUUAUGAAGUUAAAACUUCAUAUACUAAGCCAAAUGACCACAAAGUUUAUAUGUAAAGGCACCUCAAAUAGAGACAACUAGUUGAACAUUACUUCAAGCCACGAUCUAGUGAACCAUGUCAAUUAGCUGGUUUGAGGCAUGCCGAACCACCUAACCAGAUCAGUCAAGUACCAGCAUGGUUCUGGGGCUCGCUUUGAAAUGAUAACAUUAGGGCUGAAAGUGGGUCGAAUUAUAUCCGACCGUAUCCGUUUUCGUAUCCGAUUUGGGCCAGAUUCUGAUACUCCGAAUACAUAUUCGGAUAGUCAGUUCAAAAAUCCCCCAAAUACGGAUAAGGAUGCAGAUAUACCUGAUUUUUUUAGAUUCAGAUCCGGGUCUAGAUAUCCGUAUAUAAGGGUGCAAAUGGAUCGGGUCGAAUCUUAAGUGACCCUGACCCAACCCAGUUUCUUGUUCAGGUCCUAAUUUUGGACCCAGACCCAACCCAAAUAAAGAUUGGGUCAAGUCGGGUCGAGUCUACGGCUACAAUUUUUGACCCAUCAAGUCAUUCGGGUCGGGUCGGGUCCAUGUGUAACCCAAACCCGACCCAAAAAAUUCGAGUCCAGGUCGGGUCCGGGUCUGUGUCGGGUCCGGGUCCAGAAAUUCAUCAGGUCCAUUCUUACCUCGAGUAAAUAAUGCCAGCUCCAUAGUCAACUUUUUGAGAGGUUUUAUUGAAAGGUCCCAUCCUACUUUUUGUCCUCUGCUGCAGGCCCCCGUCAAACUUUUUUUAGAGGUUUAAUUGAAAGGUUCCAUCCUACCUUUUGUCCUCUACUACAGGCCGCCCACCCCCCUCUCUCUGUAUUCCCUUCGCAAGGAGGCACUGCAAAUAGACAACAGAUAGUGAGAGAGCGAGAGCGAGCGAACUCCCAGGGAGAAAGGGACUCAAAGAGAAGAGAGUGAGAGAAAGAGGAGGUAUGGGAACGGGAUGGGGGAGAGCAUUCUGCACAUUGAUCCGUCGAGAUCCGGAUACGGCGGCGGUGGAAAGGAGCCCUGACCCCAACCCCCGAAGCUGUGCGAAGUUGAGCUUCUCUGGCAGCGGCAGCGGUAGCAAUUCACCGAUGCCAAGGUAGCGCAGCCUCCAGUGCCGCACCAAGUCGACACAUCCGGAGAGCCCAAAGCUGCAAUCCAAGACCGCGAUGAUGGUAAGCUCGCACACGUCGCCACCACCAACCAGCUCGAAGCGGAGCCCCACUUUCCUCCGCCGAGGUUCCUCCAACACGUCUUCACCCAGAUCCCCUUCUGCGUUCGCCAUCUUCAAGGCCGCCCUUCACCACUCUAGGUAUGCAUUUCGUCUGCACAAUUCCGGCAAAGGUUCCUCCAACACAUCUUUUUUUUUCCUUCAUUCCGGAUGAAAAUACAUAUUUUCCUCACUCCUCAAUCCUCACGGAAAACCGACUGUCGGAGGCUCGGAGCGAUUUUUCCUGCGGGCUGCAGCUGCGGCCUGUGGGCCUACGGUCUGUGGCUGCGGCCUAUGGGCCUGCGGCCCUAAAUGGGUAAUCCAGGUUUGGGUCGGGUCGGAUCGGAUCGUUGGAUAAACGAUCCAAAAUUGACCAAAAAAAUGGAUCGAGUCAGGUCCGGGUCGGAUUGAGAUUCAGUAAACCCAGACCCAACACAAAAAACAGAAUGGAUCCAAAUUUAGAGCCCGACCCGAACCCACGGAUCCUCUAAAACGGAUCGGGUCGGGUCGGGCCAUGGGUCAACCCGACCCAUUUGCAACAUUAUCCGUAUAGCAAGGGUAAGUGAAAAGAAGUUUAAGUUAAAUUACGAAACCAAUUAAAUGAUUAAGCAAACCUAAACUAUAAAAAAAUCUAGAUAUCGGAUGACCGUCACUUAAGUAACCCGAAUAUGGAAUACCUGAUUCGAAUAAAAUCCUUUAAAUCACCCCGCACGCCUGAAAGGCUUAAACCUCUUGUUCGUCUGUUUUGUCCCUCUUUCCUCUUCGUCAUCUUCAAGCAACUAGAGUUUCGAAGAUCCCGUCCACUUCUUAGUUUCAUCCGACAAUUGCAAUCGCGACAGCCAUGUGAUACCUUGGAGGCGCCAUAAAUCCCAUCUAGUUCGGUGACGAGCAACCUUGAGCAGUAUACCUUUUAUUAAAUUGUUAUUUUUUUAUUGAUAAAUGCUUGUUAAAAUUAUAUUUUUUUAAUUGAAUCUUUUCUUUAUGAUUAUAUCUUUAUUGCUAGUUUUCAUCAUCGAAUUUUGCUCAAAUUUGAUUAAUAUCCGAAAAAGUAUGCGAUUUAUAUCCGUAUUCGGAUCAAGAAAAUAUGGAUAUCUUUAAUAUCUGAUUCGUAUUUGUAUCCAUUUAUAACAAAUAUGAAUAUACUUAAUAUCCGAUUUGUAUCGGUAUCCGUUUAGAAUAAAUAUGGAUAUUAAUUUUGAUAUCCAUUUAAUAUCCAUAUCCAUAUUCAUUGAAAAAUAUAGAUACAAAUAUGGAUAUAUCAAUAUCCGAUCCGUUUUCAGCCCUAGAUAACCUCCUCCCCCUCCCCAUGCAUCGAACACUCCCUCACCUCUCUCUCCCCCUCCCACCUCCAACCUCUCUCUCAAGGUUCGCUUGAAGCCCUCAUCGCCAAAUCCAGCCUCUCUUGUCGCGAAGCCCUCGAAGCACGUCGAAGCCCUCCUCCAAAUUCAGUCUCUCCCUCGUCAUGAAGACCUUAAAGCCUUCCUCCAAAAUCCAACCUCUCUUUUUGUGAAGCCCUCAAAGCCCAUCCAAACCCAUCGAAGCUCAAGCU
rnacentral:lncRNA from 1 species